UGUUCUAUGGCCGAACUGGUAAAGGCAUUGCCGAUCACAGGCAAGGUAGCGGGUUCGAGUCCCGCUGGAACGG
rnacentral:tRNA from 1 species